UACGUAGGCAGCGAGCGUUGUUCGGAGUUACUGGGCGUAAAGGGUGUGUAGGCGGUUGUUUAAGUUUGGUGUGAAAUCUCCCGGCUCAACUGGGAGGGUGCGCCCGAAUACUGAAUGACUUGGAGUGCGGGAGAGGUGAGUGGAAUUCCUGGUGUAGCGGUGAAAUGCGUAGAUAUCAGGAGGAACACCGGUGGUGUAGACGGCUCACUGGACCGUAACUGACGCUGAGACACGAAAGCGUGGGUAGCAAACAGG
rnacentral:rRNA from 1 species